UUGAAGCAGAGUACGGUUUGGAGGAGUGCCGUGCCUGGCUAGAAGACCAAGACCCUAGGAACUGGUUUCUUGCAGGCAGACCCUCACAUCGGCACAAAGUCCCAUGGAAGUCAGUGGAGCUUGGUUAAAUCACAAGGGUCAGAUCCGAUUGCAGGAGUGGGGCCAUACAUAUCUGAUGGCAUAAUUAAGCAUCAUGACUCCCUUAUGAGGUGCCAUGUAUGUAAAAAUCCCCAUUUACGAUUCUUUCUUUCUUUCUUUCUUUCUUAAUCAGUUUAAGCCACAUUUUCCAAAUUGUGCAAUUUAAAAACCAAAGAACCAAUACCCCCUCCCUCCCAUCCAGGCUUUCUAAUGAAAGUGCUGACCUGACCUUUCUGGUUGGCAUGAGCAGCUCUUCUAUAACACUGACGAGAACUAAGAAGGUUAGCCUUUCUUUCCUCUGUGUCUUACAUGCUUGCUGUGUUAAAAAAGAAGAAACUCUCCUUUGGGAUCGACUUCCAACUUCCCCUUUAUUUUAUUUUUGGGCCUUUUUUCCCCCAAACUCUUUCUUAAAGAGGUUUUUGUCAGAAACAACAAACUCAUCCACCCGAUGGUAACCCGAAAGUCAUUUGGGCACCACAGAGCCAUAGCAGGAGAAAAAGGGCUGAAGCCACACCUUGCCCUUUUUGGAUUUGGACAAUGGAAGUGGAAAGUCACCUGCUCCCUCGGCACUUCCAGACAGUAAUGGGAAGAACACCAUUCCUGGGCAGACCCUGCUGGACAGCAGGGUAUCUUCUCUUUAUUUUUAUUGUAGGGGUUGGUCUUGCUCCUUGUCUUCUUGUGGGAGAGAGCCCCAUUUGUUUCUAAUUCAUCCAAUC